AUUUCUUUUUAGUUUUCUGAUAAUCUUCAGUAAUUUAAAAUCUUCUGGAGGUAAUUAUAAGGAACAUCAUUUCAAAGGAUACGGGGAAAAGAGAUGUCACAUGAACACGUCUUAGAAUUUACACUGUAAAUCAAACAAUGUUGCUGCAAAGGCAUGUAAGUUAAUAUAGAAACAAUGGAAGAAUGUAAAGAAAACUCAGAGACAGGGAAGAAAGCCAGGAUAGGCUCCAAGAUCAGCUGGAUGAGAUCACAACAUGUGACCCUCACAGAUGAUAGAUCAAGAAAAUGGGAAGAGCUUCAAAGCCCUGAAACCAUAUAAAGGAGAGUCACCCAACAACUAAAAGCACCCAUCCUAAACUAUUAUGUGAACAAGAAACAAACCUCUAUUAAUAUAUUUGAAUUAUUAAAUAUUUUGAGUCUA
ensembl:lncRNA TINAG-AS1 TINAG antisense RNA 1